UAUAAUUUUUGACUCUUUGUCUUAUUCAAAUUUUUUUACGAUUGAUAUUUUUGUUUUUAUUAGAUGAUAAAUCAUGAAUAGUACUUUACGUAUGACUAAUUUUUUUUAAUUUUCUAAAAUUUUUUUAAAUAAGACGGAUGGUCAAACGUUUGACACAGAAAUCGAAG
rnacentral:pre_miRNA from 1 species